AGCGUACUCCAUUGUUACAUUUAGAGUUCAGUACAAAUUAUUAUCGUUAUAUAAAUGCAGACUAAUAGUUAAGAUAAGACACGCUAUUAUCACCUUAUUUCUAUUUCGAAUUUUAGUAUAGUCGUUCUAUGUAGUCGAUAUGUGUGGUUCUACCAAUAAGCGCGUUGUUAUGUUAUGCAUUUUGGGACUAUUCACAUCCAGUAGGUUUCACUUAGCAUCAGCGACCGAUUGCCCGGAUGCCUGGAUAGCAUUUCAAGGCUCCUGCUACUUCAUGCAUAACGACGAGAAAUCAUUCACAGAAGCUGAGAUCCGCAGACACACUGGUGGAUAGGUCUUACAGAUGAAGAUGUUGAAGGAAUCUACAAAUGGGUCGACAACAACGAGGAACUUAUUAAGGAGUCAUUUACUGAUUGGAUGACUGGGGAGCCAAGCAAUUCUGGUCAUUCAGAAGACUGCGUCCAUCUCUGGUAUAGCAACGGUUAUCGGUGGAACGACGCCUUGUGCGAUAUCAAACAUGCAUUUAUUUGCGAA